rnacentral:tRNA from 5 species
GCCCCGGUGGUCUAGCGGUCUAUGAUCCCGGCCUGUCGAGCCGGGUGCUCGGGUUCGAAUCCCGACCGGGGCG